UACGUAGGGUCCGAGCGUUGUCCGGAAUUAUUGGGCGUAAAGGGCUCGUAGGCGGUUCGUCACGUCGGGAGUGAAAACUCGGAGCUUAACUCCGAGCCUGCUUCCGAUACGGGCAGACUAGAGGUAGGCAGGGGAGAGCGGAACUCCUGGUGUAGCGGUGGAAUGCGCAGAUAUCAGGAAGAACACCCGUGGCGAAGGCGGCUCUCUGGGACGGUACUGACGCUGAGACGCGAAAGCGUGGGGAGCGAACAGG
rnacentral:rRNA from 1 species